UACGGGGGGAGCAAGCGUUGUUCGGAUUUACUGGGCGUAAAGGCGCGUAGGCGGCCUCUGCAAGUCGACUGUGAAAUCUCCGGGCUUAACCCGGAACGGUCAGCCGAUACUGCAGGGCUAGAGUGCAGAAGGGGCAACUGGGAAUUCUCGGUGUAGCGGUGAAAUGCGUAGAGAUCGGGAGGAACACCAGUGGCGAAGGCGGCUCGCUGGGGCCGGCACCUGACGCUGAGGACGCGAAAGCGUGGGGAGCGAAACAGGAUAGAUCCGUGUAGCUCCAG
rnacentral:rRNA from 1 species